UACGAAGGGGGCUAGCGUUGUUCGGAUUUACUGGGCGUAAAGCGCGCGCAGGCGGCUUUGCAAGUCAGGGGUGAAAUCCCAGAGCUCAACUCUGGAAUUGCCUUUGAGACUGUGAGGCUUCGAGUACGGGAGGGGUGAGUGGAAUUCCCAGAGUGGAGGUGAAAGGCGUAGAGAUGGGGAAGAACACCGGUGGCGAAGGCGGCCCACUGGCCCGUUACUGACGCUCAGGCGCGACAGCGUGGGGAGCAAACAGG
rnacentral:rRNA from 1 species